GACGAACGCUGGCGGCGUGCUUAACACAUGCAAGUCGAACGAAAAUACCAAGCUUGCUUGGUUGAUUAGUGGCGAACGGGUGAGUAACACGUGAGUAACCUGCCCCUUACUUUCCUGGAUAACUGCUCGAAAGGGUAGCUAAUACGGGAUAUUCUGACCAGCCUGCAUGGGUUGGUUUGGAAAGGUUGUUUUUCUGGUAAGGGAUGGGCUCGCGGCCUAUCAGCUUGUUGGUGGGGUGAUGGCCUACCAAGGCUUUGACGGGUAGCCGGCCUGAGAGGGUGGACGGUCACACUGGGACUGAGAUCCGGCCCAGACUCCUACGGGAGGCAGCAGUGGGGAAUAUUGCACAAUGGGCGCAAGCCUGAUGCAGCGACGCCGCGUGAGGGAUGAAGGCCUUCGGGUUGUAAACCUCUUUCGUCAGGGAACAAGGCACUGCUUUUUUGGUGGUGUUGAGGGUACCUGGAUAAGAAGCGCCGGCUAACUACGUG
rnacentral:rRNA from 1 species